ensembl:lncRNA
AGGAGGAGGAGGAGGACGGAGACCCUUGUGGAUGCCCCCUCCUCGCCAUCUCAUCGUUUCCCUCUCCCUGCCAUCUCUUGCUGAUUUGCCAAAUCCUACAUGUUGCUAAAGAGAAAAAAAGGAGAAAAAAAAAAUCAAAACACGAAAAAGCCGAAACAAAAGCAAAUCUCAAGUGUGUUGCCAAGUGCUGCGUCCUCCUGGUGGCCUCUGUGUGCGUGCCUGUGGCCCGCAGCCUGCCCGCCUGCCCCCCGCCCGUCUGCCGUGUGUCCUGCCCGCCUGCCCGCCUGCCCCUCCAGCCGAUGACACGGAGUUCAGUGCCUGGGUGUCUGGUGAUGGUUAUUGACGACAAUGUGUAGCGCAUGAUUGUUUUUAUACCAAGAACAUUUCUAAUAAAAAUAAACACAUGGUUUUGCACCCCGGCUCCACAUCCACUAAGGGGCCUGCGGUUGGACCCCCAGCUCAGCCCGAAGCUGGAGGGCCUGCGGUUACGGGGAAGGGGGAACUGGGUGACAGGGACACAGGGCUGGAGGGCAGUGGAGGCUGCUUCUUGGGUUGGCCUCAGGUAGGGUCUUGGAGAGUCCCAGGGUAGGGAGGGGCCAACCAUAACCUUAACCCCUCCUUCCCUCCCAGCCAGGAAAUGCUCCUCUUGAGACGGUGGGUCCAGGGUUCCCAGCACCCAGAGCCCUCCCCUCCUGCCCAUCCUGUCUCCUGGCCACAGGUGCUGGGAUGAUGUGUGGCUGUCCUGGAGAUGAGUGUGUGGCGCGUGGCCAGGUAGGCCAGGUGCGUGGCGCAGGUGUAUAUGGGCGUCUCCCCCCAGCCCUAUGCGUCUGUCUUGUCUGUGUGUGUGUGUGUGUGUGUGUGUGUGUGUGUGUGCACUCUUGUACCUCCACAGGCAAGCUUAUUUGUCUUGUGGGGGUGUCUGUCUGCUUAGGCUCCAGGGGGUGUGAGUCCGCAUCACACCCAUGUCACAAGGAUGCUGUCCCCGGCAAGUGGGAGCGUGUGUUCACAGCAGCUGGCGCCCGUGGCAGGUUGGGAGGUGGGGAGCGAGCUGCUCGGGGGCUGGGCCCUGCCAGGGGUAAAUUACAGAGCCAGCCACACAGCGAGGCCCCAGGCGGCAGCUGCCGGAGCCGCCCCUUCCUGCCCGCCCCCCACCCCGUCCUGCUUCCUCUGAUACCUGAAGGGGUGCUGGAGGGGCCCGGGUGGGGGUUGUCAGGGCCCAGGUGUGGAGCAGGUGUGGGCAUGUGUGAGAGGUGCCCCCCAUAUCUGUGGAGCCCCCUUCUAGGUUCCAGGGAGAGUCAUGUUCCUUCCAAGGUGGUGCUGCCCCCUCUGUCCCCCUAGUACUCAGGAGAGGGCAGUUCAAGUCCUCCUAGAGGGAGGAGGAGACUGACGGUCAGAGCCACGCGGGGCUCUGCGUGGGCCUUAGGCCGGCCUGCCUGGGGCCCUGGAAAUGCUGACGACCCAAGGAAACAGGACAAUGGGGGUGAGUGGGUAAGAGGGGAAGCCUUGGGUGGGGUGUGCAUUCCCAGCAGGGGUCUGAUGUACAGAGGAGAGGUGAGUAGGCUCUGUGGUGCAGAGAUGAGGAGGAAGGACCCGCUCCCAGCAGGACUUUUGGAAGGCAGGCCUGCUGCAGCUCUGUGGGAUGGUGGGCACGAUGGAGGCCUAGGCCUGUGAGGCUGGGGCUGGGGUCCCCCAGGUGCUUCAGAUGAGGCGGGCCCUGACACACACAGUGGGGAGAACUUCCAGGGCCUGCUGGCUGCUCAUCUUUGCUCUCCAUCCCAUAUUAUUAAUUCCAGGCUCAAGGGACACCCAUGAAAUGUGGACAGAUAUUUGUAUCUUCAGAAUUUUCUAUUUCAAUAAGAUGGGGGGGAUUUGCAGUGUCCUUGACCUCCUGGAGACCUUUUCUCUGCUCUGUGCUCAGCCCUCCCCUAGGGCCUCAGCCUCUGAGAGGCCCCGGGGUGAGGUCAGAGGCAGCCCCUGCCCAGGGCAAGAUAACAGGAUUACCUAGUGGAGGUUCCACCCCCACCAGAACUUUAGACCAUGGAGAUGGUGGAUGGUCAUUUGGAAGGACUCAAUCUGAGGUCCCGUGGGUGGGGCUGGCACAGGUCUGUUUUACAAGCUCCCCAGGGGAUCAGGGACAGCUCAGUGGGCCAGGUAAAUCAGUGUUCUGGCAGAAGAAUCUUAAANNNNNNNNNNNNNNNNNNNNNNNNNNNNNNNNNNNNNNNNNNNNNNNNNNNNNNNNNNNNNNNNNNNNNNNNNNNNNNNNNNNNNNNNNNNNNNNNNNNCAGGUAAAUCAGUGUUCUGGCAGAAGAAUCUUAAAUCAACAUCAGCAUCCCUGAGAACUUGUUAGAAAAUCAAAUUAUGGGGGACUUCCCUGCUGGGCCAGUGGCUAAGACUCUGUGCUCCCAAGGCAGGGGGCAUGGGCUUGAUCCCUGGUCGGGGAACUAAG